UACUACAGUCCAAGGUCAUUUUACAAUCGAAAAGUCGUUUACGAAUAUUAUUUUCAAAUUCUUGAAAACGUGAUUGAAGAAUAGGCAACAAUGUUAAACUUUGAAAACAAUUAACACAAAUAGUUUUACCACAUUCUUUUAUAUCACUCAUAUAAGACUCUCCACAACAUUCACAUUUUUUAAAAUUGUCCAUUUUUUUUCACGUUCUUAAGCCGGAUCUGUUUCGUUACAGUAACAAAAACCGAUGAUAAAGACGUUCCAGUUUUUUUUUAUCGUAGUUAGAAUGUUUUGUCUACGAAAUCGCACGAAAAUUGUUGAUCGACAAAUAAAAAAUGUUUAGUUGUUCCAACUAGUUUCGAUACUUGAAUAUUAAUAAGUAUUUUCUGAAUGUUAAGUAAAUUGAAUGAAAAGUUGAGAAUGUCGAAAUAGAGAAAAAAAGAUUUUGAAGUUAAAAAAAUAUAUGGCGUUUAUAUUGAAGAAAUAUACAGGGUUUUUCAUUUGAAAAAACCGUAUUGGAAAUAACUUCCCAUUCAAACUACUAAAAACGACGCCAUACAUAAUAAAAUAUGGAAACGUCACUUACCUGGAACAGUUCGGUUUGUAGAGAUUCGUAGGGGCGGGCGUUGGGAACGGCGGCGCACCGAGCCUCCUCUCCGCCGUCUCCUUGAUCUUGAACAACAUUAGAACGUUCAAAACAAAAAAUAUUCGGUAAAGAUCGCGUCGACAUCGCGUUCAGAGAAAAGGAUUUCCUCAACCCCGAACCGUUACAAUUUUUCGGCGUACUAGAAUUCAACACUCUAUAUAACAUCUUCGGAGUUGGAGAAUGAACUUUUUUCGUUAAGGGACUUUUGGAUAAGAGACAUUUAUUUUUAACGGGGGACGAAUAAAUCGGGAUGGUAUUACCUCGGGCAAGGAAACUGCUCAUUUCGUCCAAGCAGCUGUUGUAAUGGGAGGAAAGGGAAUAGCGUUUCGAGGAAAGCAACUUCUCCAGAUCCUGUUGUUUGUAAUCCAAAACCUAAACACCAAAAAUUUCGAUUCGAUUAAAUUAAAUUAAAAUUUCGUUCCCCUCACCUCGUUUUCAGUUAAAACUUGUUCGAGCUCGGUCAUUUUUUCGCAUAAUUUUAGUCGAAGUUCGUCGUUUAUUUUCGAAAAAGUCGAUAUUUCGUGUUCCUUCAUCUCCAAUUCGGUUCUAAAACCAAAAAUUUCGUUUUCCAAAUUUUGUUUAGUCUUCGCGAAAUGCGCUUCCUGUUCCACUAUCUGCGAAACGUUAAAACGUCAAAAACCAAAACUUCUUCGGAAAACAAUCUCGACAUUUUACCUCUUUCUCUAAUUUUUGAGCGUACUGGUUCAAUUGAACGUUAUCCUUCUCGAAAAACGUCAAUUUUUUGUUGAGUUCUUCUAUUCGCUUUUUACCCAGGCCGAUCUCAUCCCUCAAUUCGUCUAUGCAAGUUUUAUUUUCCUGCACGUCUUCGUUAACUUGUUGUCCACUAAAAAAGUAACAAAAAGAAGAAGAAUAUAAUGAAAAUCGAAUGAAAAAUAAACGAUAUAUGCGUCCUGGAGCCGGUCCUGUCCGGUUUUAGGAGAAUUCCAAAAUUUGGCGAAGGCGCGACACUUUUCAUAUACCCGGAAUUCGUUUGAUGUUUGUUUUCAUCAUAGUUUUGAACUGGUAUCUACGAAAAUCUAUUUAUUUUCUAGAAUUUGUGAGAAUUUCUUUUGGAUAUAUAAACGAGUUCGUUCAACACGGUUUAGUCUCACUCUCACCAGUUGAUUAAGUGACUUCUUCGAAUGAACACGUUUUCUAAGUGAAGUGCAGUGUUACCGGACUCAGAUAGAACAAGAGGAGACAUUUUGAGACAAUAAUAAAGAAAAAGGAGAAAGAAAAUUGUAACAAACUUGUUGAAACUUAUCCAGAAAUUAAAAAAACAAACAAACUAACGAAGAAAGACGGGUUGGAGACUAGAAAUCAAUAUCCACGUGGCAUUAAGCACAAAUUUACAGAAUUUCUCCAAUAUGGAAGAGAAAACCAACGUGGAAGAUGAAAUUAUGGAUGAAGACUGGGAGGUGAGGGUCCAAGAGCAAAGUGAUAAAACCAAAAACUUUGUUAUUUCAAAAUUUCACAUAAAUUUUGAGGUUAUGUGAAAAAACUAUAAAUACAAAAGUUGUAGAUCUUUUCAUUACCCACAACUUUGCUAAUAAACUUUUCACCAUAAGACUCACAGCUUUACAGAUAAACCGUUUUUUACCCUACCUUAGAUCGAAUUUUUUUUCCAUUUUUAUUAUAUUCUCUUCUUUUUCCGAAACGUAUCAUCUUAAUAUUAUUGGUCUGGUCUAAUAAAAGUGGUAAAAUAUAAUUUUGACAUCUAAUAAUCACCUUUGUAGACGUGUUUUACAUUUCUGUAGUUCCUCUUGUAAUACUUCAUUCUGGUCUUCGGAAAAGGCUAAUUGCACCUUCAACAUCUCCAAUUCGCUGCUAACUUUGUUCAACUGAUGUUGUAAUUGCUUAACUUCUUCUUCUAAUAUAGUCUUUUCAGGUCCACCUAUGCUAAUAUCUUUGGCUUGUUUGGUAGGAGACAGGUUAUAACUUGAAACGUUAGACAGAUUGAGCAGCCCUUCACAAUUUAGAAGUUUUUGUCCGAAACUUGCCCGAGGGGUAGAUUGUGUGUAAGGGAGUAAUUUUUCAUCGAUAACGUUUAAUUGACUACAAAAAAAUAACAUUUUCUUUAUGGUAUAUAUAUAUAGAUAUCGUUUCCGUUCUCACCUAGGGGUUCUAUUGAAGACACCAUCAGCGUCGUCUUCAGAGUGACUAGCUAUUUUUUGUGUCCAUUCAUUCAUAACUGUGAAAAACGUUUCGCCAGUAACAGAUACGUUUUUAUUUUCGGGGUCUAACAUGUUUUUCAAAGUUUCUAAAGCCGAUCUGAAAUUUUGACACAUUUUUUGAUUGAUACAUGAAAUUUCUUAUCAUAAGACAUGCAUCUUUUUCCUUUCUUUAACAAGAUACAUGUAGAAACAAAGAUUUAACCUCUUUGAAGCUGGUACAAUCAUUUUAAUAUGGGUUCCUAAGCAUACAGGAAUAAAAAAUGACAAAACACUUCCCAGGAAGAGAAACCAAAGGACUCUUGUUGGUGUGGAGCUUUAUUUUAUACAGAAAUUUGAUCCUGUGAAAGUAUAUAGGCGAAUGAAAUUCAAAUUCACUUUAUUUGAGGAUGCUCCAGCAAUACUUCAAUAAGAAAUAUAUAAAAUCGAUCUUCCAGCAAAUAGGGCCUUAUAAACUCAAUUAUCUCCGAAGUAGGGACCAUAUUCACGUUUUGGGGGUCACACGAAGAGUAGAUGUUUUUCAUGACAAUUUCCAUUGUUGGACCUAAAAUAAUCAUUGCUAAGAAAUAUAGUUUGAUGAAUAAUAACUUGAAUUAAGUGACAA